CACCCGUUCCCAUCCCGAACACGGUAGUUAAGCUUCUCUGCGCCAAUGGUAGUUGGGGGCUUCCCCCUGCGAGAGUAGGUCGCUGCCGGGC
rnacentral:rRNA from 1 species